rnacentral:rRNA from 1 species
UACAGAGGGUGCAAGCGUUGCUCGGAAUCACUGGGCGUAAAGGGCGCGUAGGCGGCGUUUUAAGUCGGGGGUGAAAGCCUGUGGCUCAACCACAGAAUGGCCUUCGAUACUGGGACGCUUGAGUAUGGUAGAGGUUGGUGGAACUGCGAGUGUAGAGGUGAAAUUCGUAGAUAUUCGCAAGAACACCGGUGGCGAAGGCGGCCAACUGGACCAUUACUGACGCUGAGGCGCGAAAGCGUGGGGAGCAAACAGG